UAGGGAAUCUUCCGCAAUGGACGCAAGUCUGACGGAGCAACGCCGCGUGAGUGAAGAAGGAUUUCGGUUCGUAAAACUCUGUUGUUAGAGAAGAACAGCGCAUAGAGUAACUGUUAUGCGUGUGACGGUAUCUAACCAGAAAGCCACGGCUAACUACGUGCCAGCAGCCGCGGUAAUACGUAGGUGGCAAGCGUUGUCCGGAUUUAUUGGGCGUAAAGCGAGCGCAGGCGGUCAAUUAAGUCUGAUGUGAAAGCCCCCGGCUCAACCGGGGAGGGUCAUUGGAAACUGGUUGACUUGAGUGCAGAAGAGGAGAGUGGAAUUCCAUGUGUAGCGGUGAAAUGCGUAGAUAUAUGGAGGAACACCGGUGGCGAAGGCGACUCUCUGGUCUGUAACUGACGCUGAGGCUCGAAAGCGUGGGUAGCAAACAGG
rnacentral:rRNA from 1 species